rnacentral:rRNA from 1 species
AGCAGCCGCGGUAAUUCCAGCUCCAAUAGCGUAUAUUAAAGUUGUUGCAGCUAAAAAGCUCGUAGUUGAACUUCAGGCCUGUCCAGAUGGUCCGCCUUAAUUGGUGUGUACUGUCCUUGGGUGGGUCCUACCUUCUGGCGAAGCGGCAUGGCCUUAGUUGGUUGUGUUGGGGAACCAGGACUUUUACUGUGAAAAAAUUAGAGUGUUCAAAGCAGGCAUAUAUGCUCGAAUACAUUAGCAUGGAAUAAUGGAAUAGGACGAUGGUUCUAUUUUGUUGGUUCUAGGACCGUUGUAAUGAUUAAUAGGGAUAGUUGGGGGCAUUAGUAUUCAAUUGUCAGAGGUGAAAUUCUUGGAUUUAUUGAAGACUAACUACUGCGAAAGCAUUUGCCAAGGAUGUUUUCAUUAAUCAAGAACGAAAGUUAGGGGAUCGAAGACGAUCAGAUACCAUCG